UACCAGCACCCCGAGUGGUCGGGACGAUUAUUGGGCCUAAAGCAUCCGUAGCCGGUUCUACAAGUCUUCCGUUAAAUCCACCUGCUUAACAGUUGGGCUGCAGAGGAUACUAUAGAGCUAGGAGGCGGGAGAGGCAAGCGGUACUUAGUGGGUAGGGGUAAAAUCCGUUGAUCCACUGAAGACCACCAGUGGCGAAGGCGGCUUGCCAGAACGCGCUCGACGGUGAGGGAUGAAAGCUGGGGGAGCAAACCGG
rnacentral:rRNA from 1 species